UGGUCUCAUGCUCAGGGGGUUGCCGUGCAGCUGGGGAAAGGUGCCUACCUUUUGCACCUUCUAGUUCAAGAAGGAAAUUUGUGCUAUAGUACUUACACUAUGAGCUAUAUUGGAGGGCUGCAAGGUGUCGCUACCAACCUCAUAGGACAGAUGAGCAGAGAUUAGUCUAUGUACUUUGAGUCAGGUAACUUGAGAGUGGCAGAGGUGAGAGUGGAACCCAGGUUGCCUGGCUCUGUUUGUCCACAGCUGCCACUGGGAGAAAGUGUUUGUGGUAGGAACUCUUUCUUUGGAUCUGAAUGCUAAAUGUCCCCUAAAGAGCAUGGAUGAAAACUUGCUCCACAGCCCGUGACUUGUUUGGGAAGUUGCGGGACCUUAGGAGGCCGGGGCUUGUGGAAGGAAGUGAGAUUGUGAUCUCGUAGGUGGAAGUUAGGCGCUAAUAGGAAGAAGUUAGGUUUAGGGGGACAUACCAUUAAGGUAGCUCCUGAGAUUCUUUGGAGACCUUGUUCCCUCCCCCUCCUACUUCCAUGAAGUAAGCUGCUUCAUUCCACCACGUUUCCUCCACGAUGUGCCAUGUUACCAUGGUGUGUGCUGUGUCACUACAGGCUCAAAGAGACAAGAUUAACUACCAUGCAUUACAACUCCACACCAUGAGCCAACUAGAAACCAUUUCCUCCCUUUCAAGUUGUUUUUCUGUCAUAUUGUCUCUACAACAGACAGAUGACUUAUAAUGUAUACCUUCAUCUGCCUUUUCCCCUUUCAAAUUUGAGGCUAAGUGGGAUUUUAGGGUCUCCUAAGAUCCUACCCAACAAAUGACAUCAUUUUGAGGAAGACUUAUAUUUCCUAAACUAUG
rnacentral:lncRNA from 1 species